GCUCAAAUUAUGAAAUCUCACGUUCUGUGCCGAAUUGUUAGCUUUAGGAGUAAACGUUUUCUCGGGUUGGCUUUGGGUACAAGUUCUUUGGAACAAGGCAUCAUAGAGGGUGAAAAUCCCGUCUUUGACCCAAGGUCCAAUUCCAUAUGAUACGUUUUGGAAGAGUCGGCUUUGUUUGGGAAUGCAGACCAAAAUGGGUGGUAAAUACCAUCUAAAGCUAAAUAUUGGCGAGAUGCCGAUAGCGAACAAGUACCGUGAGGGAAAGAUGAAAAGAACUUUGAAAAGAGAGUUAAACAGUACGUGAAAUUGUCUAUAGGGAAACGUUUGAAACCAGUAUUGCCUGCAGGAAUUUAGCUGUGGUUUACUGCAGUGUCCUUUUCUGUAGGCGAGUCAACAUCAGUUUGACUUGGAGUAAAAAGCCAUUGGAAGGUAGCCUUCGGGUAUUAUAGCCUUUGGUCAUGCUCUGGGUUGGACUGAGGACUGCAGCGUUUUUUGGAGAACCAGUCGCCUCUUGAAGUAGGUAAGUUAAAUGCGUGCAGAUAGCUUAUUUUACCAGGGAGCUCGGUUGGGUUAUCACACCAACGCCUAGGAUGUUGACGAAAUGGUUUUAAGCGACCCGUCUUGAAACACGGACCAAGGAGUCUAACAUAUAUGCAAGUAUUUGGGUGGUAAACCCUUUUGCGUAAUGAAAGUGAAAAGGUGGGAUCCUUUACGGGAGCACCAUCGACCGCGCCAGAUUAUUACUAUCUCGGCGUGAGUAUGAGCAUACAUGUUGGGACCCGAAAGAUGGUGAACUAUACCUGAAUAGGGUGAAGCCAGAGG
rnacentral:rRNA from 2 species